GGAUUCGCCCGAUGUGAAAACUUUCCUGAAGAUGAUCCGUUGGGGAAGUUUGAUUUUAUGAAGGAUCUGGUAGAGGGUCGGCCGGUGAUGGACUUCGGAUGGCAUUGGGGAGGUUCGGUAGACAUCGGAGGCGAUCGGUCGUUGUAGGAAUCCAGCUGUCGGAGCCCGAUCGUUGUAGAAGCUCAUCCAAUAUCCAACCACUAUAGAAGUUCGGUCGAAGUCUGGUUCUUGUAGAAGGCUGAAAGGAGAUCGCCUAUUGUGGAAGCUCGAUCGAAGGUCAGUUAUCGUGGGACCCGACUACGAAGAAGCUCGGUUGAAGUCUACCUGUAAUGGAAGUUCGGAAGGAAUAUGUUUACAGCGGAGGCUCGGAUGGGAUUUGCUUACAGUAGGGAUCCGAGGUAGGACGUCCACUGUAAGGGUUCAGAGUAGACUGCUCG
rnacentral:lncRNA from 1 species